rnacentral:lncRNA from 1 species
AUAAAAGUGUGAUUAGAUUUGGCGCAUUUUUUUCAGAAAAAAGUCAGAAAUAUCCGGAAGAAUUCAAAGAUAUUUUGAAAAAACCGAAGGAAUUUUAUCAGAAACGAUUGAUCAGCACUUGGAAAAGGUUUUAGAACGUCAGGGACCCUCUAGAAUGCGAACCAUCUCCGGAUUUUCUCUACUUCAUCCUGUUCAUUUUCAGAGCAUUUACAGGGGUCCUUGCGUUUGCGAGCUGCUCAAAUACCUGGCAAUGAUGUGUUUCAAGCUGAUCGACAUGGAUAUCAUUGAUUUAUCCCAUUUAAAUCAAUUUCAGUUCAGGCACACAGAUAUCCGUGUGUCUAAAGUACAGGUAGCGGCACAAUAUAUCCAUGUCAGGAUAGCGGAAUGCCAAGAAACAUGACCUCGCUGUUGUCCGAUAGAAGAUGUUAACGAAUUGUGUGAUUUCGUGUAAUUCUAGCAGAGAAAACCCUUUCCGUGUUGCUCUUGAUGGCAAUGAUGCACUUGGAUUCUUUGAAGAAGCAUUAGAAAAAGCCAAUCAGUUGAAUAUACAGUUAAAUUUAGAUGUCAUGUGAUAGUCCAGGGUGUGAUAAAAAAAUAUUAUUCCAGUAGUGGCGUCUACAAAUGCUAUUCUAUGAAAAAUUAGUUGAUGCACAAGACGUUUUAUGGGUAAUGUGACAAUUAUUGGCACUUCAGAAUCAGCGUUUAGAGAAAUGGAUCAGCUGAAGAUAGGAAUAAAUGCCAGAGGAUGUUGUGUACUGCCCUCGUGGCUUUGUUUAUUCUAGGAAAAUUGUAUGUAGCAAAUGCAUGUGCGAUACGUGUGAAAAGAAUAUAUUUGAAGAGAAUAUCUGGCGCUACCGAAAUCUGGAGAUUUAGGAAAGACUGAGAUGUUUACGGAUGAGCGUAUGCAGUAAGAUUAUCUGAAUAUAUCUGCGAUUACUGGGCAAGGAAAGAAGAUGGUGUAACAAGAAGAUUUGGUGAUGAUAGUUUACUUGUUGAGUUGGUACAAACACUGGCAAAACCUCGAAGUGGAAUGAAGACAGAUAGGGGAAUUCAAGACAACUUUUUAGAGCAGCAUUAAUUAGAAAUAAAAAACCUUUAAGUAGAAAAAAGUUUGAGACUGUGUUGGAUGUACUCUUGAUUUUUUAUGGGUAAAUUUUAAUGGAAUAAAUUGGGAACCUGUCCCAUAUAUUGGCAUUUUAGAAUCAGCUUUUAGAGAAAUGGCACACAUCAGGAUCAGUCGAAGAUAGGAAUAAAUGCCAGAGGAUGUGUACUGCACUCGUGGCUUUGUUUAUUCUAGGAAAACUACAUAGAAAAUGCCCAAGUAACAAGUUAAAUCCUUUUUCCGUUCUAUCUUCCCAGAUAUUUUCGCCAGAUCUUUGAAUAAAGAGAAUUUAGAUGGAUUCUGACAAUCUCAGCACUUUGUUCUUCACUUAAUGAAAAACAAAAGGCUGAGGACCGCGGUUUGGAUCCCGUGUAAACACUCGGUCGGAUGAUCCCUAGCAGCGUAAGCCGGAUAGCCCUCGUAACUUAAGGCCAUCUAAAUGAAAACUACGAGGAUUAUCCGGUCUGUCAUUUACGCGGAAUCUAAACCUCGUUCCUCAGCCAUUUAUUUUCAAAAAUAAAAAUGUGAUUGUGAUUAAUUAGAUUUGGCGCUUUUUUUUUCAGAAAAAGUCAGGAAUAUCCAGAAAAAUUCAAAGAUUUUGUGAAAAAGCCGAAGGAAUUUUAUCAGAAACGAUUGAUCAGCACUUGGAAAAGGUUUUAGAACGUCUGGGACCCUCUAGAAUGCGAACCAUCUCCGGAUUUUCUCUACUUCAUCCUGUCCAUUUUCAGAGCAUUUACAGGGGUCCUUGCGUUUGCGAGCUGCUCAAAUACCUGGCAAUGAUGUGUUUCAAGCUGAUCGACAUGGAUAUCAUCGAUUUAUCCCAUUUAAAUCAAUUUCAGUUCAGGCACACAGAUAUCCGUGUGUCUAAAGUACAGGUAGCGGCACAAUAUAUCCAUGUCAGGAUAGCGGAAUGCCAAGAAACACGACCUCGCUGUUGUCCGAUAGAAGAUGUUAAUGAAUUGUGUGAUUUCGUGUAAUUCUAGCAGAGAAAACCCUUUCCGUGUUGCUCUUGAUGGCAAUGAUGCACUUGGAUUCUUUGAAGAAGCAUUAGAAAAAGCCAAUCAGUUCAAUAUACACGGUGUUAAGUUUAGAUGUCAUGUGAUAGUCCAGGGUGUGAUAAAAAAAUAUUAUUCCAGUAGUGGCGUCUACAAAUGCUAUUCUAUGAAAAAUUAGUUGAUGCACAAGACGUUUUAUGGGUAAUGUGACAAUUAUU